CAUGUUACCAUAAGAAUGAAAUUUAAGUAAAGUAGGUAGUCUAGAUUCUAACAUUGCUUACCUUUAACAGCUAUUUGGAGCGGCCUGUUCAAAUUUGUAGCCAGCAACAGGUCAACUACACUUCUUAUAUUGUAAGUACCUCGGUUUCACAGGCUCCAGGCGCAAACUUGUGACUUCUCUUGACACUUCCAAUGGAGAAAUGAA